rnacentral:tRNA from 1 species
GUAAAUAUAGUUUAUAUAAAACCUCAGACUGUGAAUCUGAAAAUAGGAAAUUAAACUCCUUAUUUACC